rnacentral:rRNA from 1 species
UACAGAGGGGGCAAGCGUUGUUCGGAAUUACUGGGCGUAAAGGGCGCGUAGGCGGCCCGCUAAGUCGAACGUGAAAUCCCCGGGCUCAACCCGGGAACUGCGUCCGAUACUGGUGGGCUUGAAUCCGGGAGAGGGAUGCGGAAUUCCAGGUGUAGCGGUGAAAUGCGUAGAUAUCUGGAGGAACACCGGUGGCGAAGGCGGCAUCCUGGACCGGCAUUGACGCUGAACAGCGAAAGCCAGGGGAGCAAACGGG